GACGAACGCUGGCGGCGUGCUUAACACAUGCAAGUCGAACGAAAAGAGGGAAAGAGCUUGCUCUUUCCGGAAUUGAGUGGCAAACGGGUGAGUAACACGUAAACAACCUGCCUUCAUGAUGGGGACAACAGACGGAAACGACUGCUAAUACCGAAUAAGUUCCAAGGGCCGCAUGGCCCAUGGAAGAAAAGGUGGCCUCUACCUGUAAGCUAUCGCCUGAAGAGGGGUUUGCGUCUGAUUAGCUGGUUGGAGGGGUAACGGCCCACCAAGGCGACGAUCAGUAGCCGGUCUGAGAGGAUGAACGGCCACACUGGAACUGAGACACGGUCCAGACUCCUACGGGAGGCAGCAGUGGGGAAUCUUCCGCAAUGGGCGAAAGCCUGACGGAGCAACGCCGCGUGAGUGAUGACGGCCUUCGGGUUGUAAAACUCUGUGAUCCGGGACGAAAAGGCAGAGUGCGAAGAACAAACUGCAUUGACGGUACCGGAAAAGCAAGCCACGGCUAACUACGUG
rnacentral:rRNA from 1 species